UACAGAGGGUGCAAGCGUUAAUCGGAAUUACUGGGCGUAAAGCGUGCGUAGACGGUUACAUAAGUCGGGUGUGAAAGCCCCGGGCUCCACCCUGGGAAUUGCAUUCGAGACUGCGUAGCUAGGGUGCGGAAGAGGGAAGCGGAAUUUCCGGUGUAGCGGUGAAAUGCGUAGAUAUCGGAAGGAACACCAGUGGCGAAAGCGGCUUCCUGGUCCAGCACCGACGUUCAGGCACGAAAGCGUGGGGAGCAAACAGG
rnacentral:rRNA from 1 species